rnacentral:lncRNA from 1 species
CAGGGUUUCACCAUGUUAGCCAGGAUGUUCUCGAUCUCCUGACCUCGUGAUCCACCCGCCUCGGCCUUCCAAAGUGCUGGGAUUACAGGCCUGAGCCACCAUGCCCGGCUGGCACUUAAUACUUUGAGUUUACUUGUUUGGUACUGAUUGUCCCUGCCAGUAGAAAGGAAGCUCCGUAAGGUCAGGGACCCCCGUCUCGUUCCAUGUCUAGCCCAGUGCCUGGCCCAUGUGGACCUCAGCAACUGUGGUGGAUGCUGCGAUGAGAGGCCCCGGGAGACCCCUCCAGUGACAGGCUGGGUGUCCCAGUUGUUCAGGGUGUGGUAAGCGGCCUUCAGCCAUCAGCUGCAACUCGCCAGGGUCACACCCUUCCCUGGGACAGCCCACAUUGCAAAGUCCUGGACAUCCUGGUCCAACCGAGGACAGCCCUGAGGACCACUUCUGUGGCAGAGCUCCCUGUGGGGGACCAGUAGCCGCUGUGCUUGAUGGCAUCACAGCCCCACUCCUGCCUCUUGUGUCUUCCCCUCCACAGGUCCAACAUCACUCCGUGAAAGUCUGCUCCCCACCUAGGAGCCCCCUCGAGCCACAGCAGCCUUGCCAGCUGGAGAAGGACCCGAGACGUGCAGAUGGGAGUUGUGGCAGUAGUGGCCAUCUUGAGGGACAGACACCGGGAGAAAACGAGUGAUGCGUGCAAGGAGGGGCAUCGCUGAGCCCACACAAGACUCAAGAUGGAUGAGACAGAGGCGGCCUCAGGUGCCUGCAGGUGGAGAGAGAAGGUAGGGGUGGCCUGGAGGCAGGUCUCUUCUGAGUAUCACAAAGCACAUCCAAAAGUAAAUGAUGCCGGGUGUGGUGGCUCUCGCCUGUAAUCCCAGCACUUUGGGAGGCUGAGGUGGGUGGAUCAGCUGGACCAACAUGAUGAAACCUCGUCUCUACUAAAAAUACAAAAAUUAGCUGGGUGUGGUGGCACGCGCCUGUAAUCCCAGCUACUUGGGAG